UUCAUGCGUGAGUUCCAAAUAUCUCUAACGGUCGCCCCAGCGUGAGUUUUUUUAUGCACGUGAUGUUAGAAUGUUCUCUCCAUUCCAGAAUGUGAUUGAUACGUAACAGUACAUUUUAUCCGCGCUGCCCUCAAACUAAAGCACGCAGCCUGUUUAUAUUUAUAAGUUGUUUUAACUUCAAUUUAAAAUGAUUUUCAAACAAGUUUUUAUUUUCUAAAAACAGUUUGAAUUUAGGUGUGUUCCGCCUCCUCAUUCAUUCACAUAAAAAUAGUCAUUUUUACUUUUGCGGAUAAUUACAUUUUUGGGACAUUUCUGACAGGGACAAAAUUCCCCAAGCACUUCCCAAUUGUUUGUGCAGUUCACGUCUGCAGACAUUUGCUCAUCUCCCGUCAGAACAGGAUCUGCACACGUGUUCACAUUUUCUAUUCCACAUUUCUAUUGUAGCGUACUGUAUGUAUAGAGCAUAAUAUAUUUGUGUAUAUUCUUUAUCACCGCGGAAACGUGAGGUAACGUUACUCAUUUUAUAACCUUUAUGAUGUUAUAGUCAAUCGUGCUUAUGUAGCCACAUUCUUCUAUUAGCUCUGUAAAACAAUGCUAAAUGCGUCAGAGAAGUAUUAUCUUGUGUUGCAUUUUGAAGCUACCAUGGCCUUAUGACUCUCAAGUGGUGCAGCGGUCAAAGGCACAGCACAUCAGUACUAGAGGUGUCACUACAGACUCCCUGGUUCAAAUCCAGGCUGCGUUUCCAUCAAAAAACAUUAUUUGCCAAUAUCAUAACUGAAGCUGGACAUCUUUGGAGCAUAAGAAUGAGGACAGCUUUUGCAUAGUAUCAUGGCUGGUCACCUGUCAAGUCACAUGUCAGGCAGACUUUGCAAUGCCUCCGUGUGCGACUACCUUGAGAAGCAGUUUGAGGGACUUUGCAGGGAAAAUGUCGUGCAGUGAGGCGUA